rnacentral:rRNA from 1 species
AGAAUCAACGCUGGCGGCGUGCCUCAGACAUGCAAGUCGAACGCGAAAGUCCCCUUCGGGGGACAAGUAGAGUGGCGCACGGGUGAGUAACACAUAGGUAAUCUACCUUCGGAUGGGGAAUAACAACCGGAAACGGUUGCUAAUACCGCAUAAUGCAGCGGCACCUAAUGGUGACAGUUGUUAAAGCGGGGGAUCGUGAGACCUCGCGUCUGAAGAGGAGCCUGCGGCGGAUUAGCUAGUUGGUAGGUAACAGCCUACCAAGGCGACGAUCCGUA